GAUGAACGCUGGCGGCGUGCCUAAUACAUGCAAGUCGAGCGAACGGACGAGAAGCUUGCUUUUCUGAUGUUAGCGGCGGACGGGUGAGUAACACGUGGAUAACCUACCUAUAAGACUGGGAUAACUUCGGGAAACCGGAGCUAAUACCGGAUAAUAUUUUGAACCGCAUGGUUCAAAAGUGAAAGACGGUCUUGCUGUCACUUAUAGAUGUAUCCUCGCUGCAUUAGCUAGUUGGUAAGGUAACGGCUUACCAAGGCAACGAUGCAUAGCCGACCUGAGAGGGUGAUCGGCCACACUGGAACUGAGACACGGUCCAGACUCCUACGGGAGGCAGCAGUAGGGAAUAUUCCGCAAUGGGCGAAAGCCUGACGGAGCAACGCCGCGUGAGUGAUGAAGGUCUUCGGAUCGUAAAACUCUGUUAUUAGGGAAGAACAUAUGUGUAAGUAACUGUGCACAUCUUGACGGUACCUAAUCAGAAAGCCACGGCUAACUACGUG
rnacentral:rRNA from 1 species